rnacentral:lncRNA from 1 species
CUUCUAUCUCCUCUCUAACUGGGACUUGUUGCCCAUCCAUCAAACUUUACCGCCCUCCUCCAGCGGCCCCAGCCUCUAGGACCACCCUUCUGCUCUCAACUUCCAUGUGACCAGCUUUUAAUAUUCCACAUAAAAUAAAGUAAAAUAUAGAGGUUAAAUAUAGAAAAACACAACCCCACAGACUGAUAAUAGUACUGAGUGCCUUGAGCCACAAGCACGAUUGAUACCUCUCCAUUUAUCCUGGGCUGUCGUAGUCUCUGUUUUCAGUGUCUUUGGUGAAAUUUAUUUCCAUGUGUUUUCUGUUUUGUAGCCUAUUGUAAAGGAGUUUUAAACUCAUUUUCUGAUCAUUUGCUGCUGACACAGAAACACAAGGGCCUUUUCACAUACUGACUCUGCAUUCCGUUGCCUUUCCAAAUCCACUCAUUAGCUCUUGAAGGAGUUUUGUAGAUCCAUCAGGAUUUUCUGCAUAAAUCACCAGUCAGCCGCUAACAGCAGUGGUUUUGCCUCUUUCUCUCCAGUUUAUGCACAUCUCGUUGUGCGAGCGGGAGUCUCCGGCACCAUGAGAGGAGUGGUGAGAACAGGGGGCCUCGCUGCUCUCCAAAAAACAAGCCAAAC